CCCUUAGAUGUUCUGGGCUGCACGCGCGCUACACUGAUGCAUGCAACGAGUUUUCGACCUUGCCUGAAAAGGUUGGGUAAUCUGUUUAACAUGUGUCGUGAUGGGGAUAGACCAUUGCAAUUAUUGAUCUUCAACGAGGAAUUCCUAGUAAGCGCGAGUCAUCAGCUCGUGCUGAUUAUGUCCCUGCCCUUUGUACACACCGCCCGUCGCACCUACCGAUUGAAUGGUUCGGUGAAGAUCUCGGACUUCGAUAUUUGUUCUUCAUUGAACUUAUAUAGUGGGAAGUUAUCUGAACCUCAUCAUUUAGAGGAAGGUGAAGUCGUAACA
rnacentral:rRNA from 1 species